rnacentral:rRNA from 1 species
GGGAUUGAGACGUAGCUGCCGCUACGCAGCUACCAUGCAGUCGAGCGGUAGAGAGAAGCUUGCUUCUCUUGAGAGCGGCGGACGGGUGAGUAAUGCCUAGGAAUCUGCCUGGUAGUGGGGGAUAACGUUCGGAAACGAACGCUAAUACCGCAUACGUCCUACGGGAGAAAGCAGGGGACCUUCGGGCCUUGCGCUAUCAGAUGUUUCCUAGGUCGGAUUAGCUAGUUGGUGAGGUAAUGGCUCACCAAGGCGACGAUCCGUAACUGGUCUGAGAGGAUGAUCAGUCACACUGGAACUGAGACACGGUCCAGACUCCUACGGGAGGCAGCAGUGGGGAAUAUUGGACAAUGGGCGAAAGCCUGAUCCAGCCAUGCCGCGUGUGUGAAGAAGGUCUUCGGAUUGUAAAGCACUUUAAGUUGGGAGGAAGGGCAUUAACCUAAUACGUUAGUGUUUUGACGUUACCGACAGAAUAAGCACCGGCUAACUCUGUGCCAGCAGCCGCGGUAAUACAGAGGGUGCAAGCGUUAAUCGGAAUUACUGGGCGUAAAGCGCGCGUAGGUGGUUUGUUAAGUUGGAUGUGAAAUCCCCGGGCUCAACCUGGGAACUGCAUUCAAAACUGACUGACUAGAGUAUGGUAGAGGGUGGUGGAAUUCCCUGUGUAGCGGUGAAAUGCGUAGAUAUAGGAAAGGAACACCAGUGGGCGAAGGCGACCACCUUGGACUAAUUACUGGACACUGGAGGUGCGAAAAGCGUGGGGGAGCCAAACAGGAAUUAAGAUAC